rnacentral:lncRNA from 1 species
UCACAUGCAUGAUGCAUGAUGUAUACCCUAGCUGGAUAUAAGCGUUGUAAUUUAUUAAGGACUGACUGGCAAGCCCCAGGGUGGAAGUCUUUCAUGUCUUGCCAGUAACCACUGGUACUUCGCGUGCACUGUAGGUGAUCUCAACCUCACGCUCCCUGGAUGUGGGCUGAGAUAGCUGUCAAGGUGAUGAAGUCUGCAGACAGCUAAACCCCUUGGAAGCCCAAAGACUCCUGAGCAGCACCGUUUUCUGCCAGGACUGACACCUGCUGCUGCCUUCAGGCUAAGGACAACCCUGGAGACUUAUACUCCAGCCUGGCCUCAGACUCACUAUGGAGAAGAUGACCCUUGAUUUCUGAUGCUCUUGUUUCCAGCUCUUGAGUGCUAAGAUUACAGUCCUGGUUCUUGUGGACCUGGGGCCUGAACUGAGGGCUUUAUGCAUGGUUUGCAUGCGCUCUAGCAACUAAGCUACAUUCCCAAACCACUUGUUCCUGAAACUUAAACAGUGGGAACUGA